CAGGUUACUAGUCUGAUUCGAUCUGAUUCAGUCUGAAUUUUUUUUGAGCAGUCUUUAUUUACAUUGUUAACUCUAGCAGAAUACACAUUCUUUCUCACAGUACAUUUCACACAUGCGUAUGAGGCAGCAGUGAAAGAGUGGUAAUGUUGUAGGUGAUAUUAAAAUGACAGCACAUAUGAAUGUGUGUAUGUGUUUGUGCUUUGUGGCAAUGACAUUAUGCAUUUAUAUGUGUAUCAGAGUACUGCUGAGGGAGAGAAGGGUUUCCUGCAUGACCAAUUGAUUACAUGCAUACAUGUGUGUAAUGUUGAUACGGUCUGAGGCAAGCAUAUUGAGAAAUGAGUGAGCGUAAGAGUGUGUGUAAGCUAUACCCUAAACAAGGAAACAAAUUUGCUCAUAAAGUCAGGAAAGCAAAUAUUACACUACUGCAAUUCUCCAUUAAGAAUGCCUUUUCGUGCAAACUGUGUGUGUGUGUGUGUGUGUGUAUGUGUUUGAGCCUAAGACAGUGGCAGACAGAGGCUAAGUGGUUUGGAUACAGACAGCAGAGCUGAGUCUAUAUUUCAAAUAUGGCUGUCAGAACAAAUUUCCCUGAUCGCAUACUACACUUUAAGUUGCCUAAUAGAAGUCUGCUGAAACAUGCAUUUCCUAAACCCUUACCUAGAUGUUACUUGAUAUUGGAAAAGAGAGCUGAAUAAAUGCAUAUCAUUUAUUUACUACUUUUCCCAAUAUUCCCCCAUAUUAUCAUAUUAUUAGUUACAUAUUUUAAAUUUGCAAUGUGAUAUUACGUGUAAAUAGGUGAGAAUUAACAGCUACUUAUUGUAGGUCUUUUUUUUGUCUCUAUAUCAAAUUAUGCUCUAUUAGGCUAUAUAAUAAUAUACUACAGGUGCAUCUCAAACAAUUAGAAUUUUGUGGAAAAGGUCAUUUUUCCCCCUGUAAUUUAAUAAAAAAUGUGGAACGUUCAUAUAUUCUAGAUUCAUUACAUAUAAAGUGAAAUAUUUCAAGCCUUUUUUUGUUUUAAUCUUGAUGAUUACACCUCAUGGAAAUAAAAAAUCCAGUUUCUCAAAAUAUUAGAGUAAAGAAUUUAUAAUACAGAAAUGUAAACCUUGUGAAAGGUAUGUAAAUAUAUGCACGCAAUACUUGGUUGGGGCUUUAAUCCUUUUGCAUGAAUUACUGCAUCAGUGUGGCGUGGCAUGGAGGCAAUCAGCCUGUGGCACUGCUGAGGUGUUAUGGAAACCCAGGUUGCUUUGAUAGCGGCCUUCAGCUCAUCUGUAUUGUUGGGUCUGGUGUCUCUCAUAGAUUCUCUAUGGGGUUCAGGUCAGGAGAGUUGGCUGGCCAAUUAAGCACAGUAAUACCAUGCUCAGCAAACCAGUUACUAGUAGUUGUGUCACUGUGGGCAGGUGCCAAGUCCUGCUGGAAAAGGAAAUCAGCAUCUCCAAAAUUUUGUCAGCAGAUGGGAGUAUGAAGUGCUCUAAAAUCUCCUGGUAGAUGCUGCAUUGACUCUCGACUCGAGAAAACACAGUGGACCAGCACCAGCAGAUGACAUGGCCCCCCAAAUCAUCACUGACUGUGGAAACUUCACACUUUUCAUCCUCAACUUGUCAAUAAAUCCCAAGAAGCCUAGGAAAUGAAAACUCUAAAUAUCAUAAACAAAAAGCAUUACUGUGAUAAAUAAAAUAAAAAUUAAUCUGAAACAUUUAUUUUACAUUUCUAAUAAAAUUUCUGCAGCAGUAUAUAAGUAUAGGCUUGUGAAUGCAUUCAAGGUUUGUUAAUGUAAUUAAAAUUCGAACACAAAAGGAAUUCUAACAACACAAUCACAUCCACACACACUCUCAGAGAGUAUGGUCUGAGUUCCCUGGUUUACCCAGCUGUGUGUACCAGACAGUAUUCUGAUGUCACCACCCCUCCGUUCACCACCACAACAGCCCCCUUUCCCUAAUACCUCCCUCACUUCCUGUCAGCAGAGCAGUGAUGUCACAGCCCAGCUGGGGAUGUCACGUCCACUCGAACGUCCCUUAGAAACUGUCUCAGCCUGCUCCCCUUCUUUCCUACUGUCCCCCACUUUCAUCCCUGCUUUAAUCAGUUCAAUCCCUCUGAGACUAUGGACAGUCACUGAGGCACGUACCACAAACACAGGGAAACACACACACACACACACACACACACACACACACACACACACACACACACACACACAUGCACAAAGUAGCCUCAUUAGCCCCACUUGCCUACCCUCCUCAUGAGCACCUCAUAUACUAGCUGGCACAAAAAAACCCACAUAUAAUUUCAAAUGCCUUUAGUAAUAAAGAAUGUGAUAAAGAAAGUCCCUUCCAGCGUAAAAGCAUUUCCAUGGAACCUGUUACGAGCACAGAUUUAAUGUAUUAACAUAAUCCAAAUGUUUAAAUAUUAGGCACAUUAGACAAACGCAUACCAUCAAAUUUAUUUAUUAGAGCCAUUAGACAAUUUUAAUUCCUGAAUUUCCACAAACAGAAACCCAAACCACUUGGAUCAUUUGAUCACUUUUCCUAGUUCUAUGAAAAUUACAGUUCAAGUUGACGUUAUUUAUUUAAGUCACAGAGGAAAUUAAGUACUUCCUUUAAGAAACAUGUUUGUGUGACUGACAUAAUUUUAAACCCAUUCAACUGGACUUAUGACAUUAAUAACUAAAUAAUAACAAUAGUAAAAACUGGUAGUAAUAAUAAUCUCCACCACCAGCAUGUCAUUUUAAAAAAUGAUAAUGAAAAAUGCAGACUCUCUGAAUGGAUCAGACAUUAAGAGCCAGAGAAACAUUAAAGUUUUUAAUUUUUACAGUUGUUUGAAGACACAAAUCAGAUGCUAGUUUAUUCAGCGUACCAUAGUUCAUUUAGUACAAAAACACAAUACCGUCUCUGUGGUCUUAUAGGUCAUGGUUCCUGUAGGACACAUUAUGCAAGGACACUAUGUUACUCUAGUACUGCUUUGAGAACAGCCUCUUGAUUCUACUGGUAUGAAAGACAAGUGUAAAUAAAGCACCUUGUUGAAAAGGAAGGUCUAAAUGCUACACGGCAAGAAAUGAAAUCUCUCUCUCUCCCUCUCUCUCUCUCUCUCUCACACACCCCUCUCUGUCUCUCGCUUUAUUGGAGCUGACACAUUUUCUCUGCUCAUUAGAGCUGAGUGGCAGUGAAUUCCCUACAGCUGCGUGGGACAGUCCUGUAGCCUGCCCCACAAUCGUGUUCUCCUGCUACACAUUUGCUUGAGAGUUGUUUUCCCUGGCGACUCCCGGCUUCCGUUCCCAGGCUGGGAGGUGGGCCAGUGGCCACAGUACACAUACUUUCCAGCUCUGAAGGCCAGCGGAGGCUCCUCCUGUCCAAAUAGCCCUGCAGGAAGAACUCCACUCCUGAUCACUGCCACUGCUCCACACUGUCACUCCACUUCACAGACCUGUGAUCAGAGAAUGGUUACGGUGGAUCCAGAGUCUAUCCCAGGAACACUGGGUGCAAGAUGGCGGGAAUACACCCUGGAUGGGAUGCAGAGCAUGUGAGCAGAGUGGAGCAGAUAGCGGAGCACUGAUAAUUCCACCUUUCUUAAGAUUCCGAAAACUGAGAAAUAGGCGGCUGUGGCUCAGUUGGUAGAGCGGGUUGCCUGCUAAUAGGGUUGGCGGUUCGAUUCCUGGCCCGGGUGACUCCACAUGUCGAAGUGUCCUUGGGCAAGACACUGUACCCCAAAUUGCUCCCGAUGCAUGACAAUUCUCCUGAAGACAAAGCGAGGUCCAAGAAGAGAUGGUUUGUCAAGGUUGGAGUGGAAGAACUCGAGUGACCUGCACAGAGCCCUGACCUCAACCCCACUGAACACCUUUGGGAUGAACUGAAACACCAACUGAACCCCAGACCGAUGUCAGUGGUCAGAUUUCCACAAACUUUUGUCCAUAUAAUGUAAUUUAUUAUUUUACUCUUUUGUUAGUGGCAAAAUGUGAAGUGUAUGGAACAUUGGUGUUACUUGUUUUAGACUGAUGAUGGGUGUGUUUGCAUGACUUUACUGAUUUUUUGCUGACAACACAAACUUUAAGUUGACGUGUAAACUACAGUACACUUUAAUCACUCCACUGCAGUUUUCAUUGGUGGCUAAUUACACAGCUCACUCUAAGCUUACAAUAUGACAUGUUUUUUAAAAUGUAGUUUUCUCGUGAUGUCGACAUAACAAAAGUUGUUUUCUCGUGGUCUCGACAUCCAUCCUCCCAAAGUCUGUGGUUUUUGGUUAAAUGCCUAAAAUAAGGUCUGUGGUUAAUACACCGUCAUGUAGUUCGUUUAUAGCCUAACAUUAGCUUUUUACUUCUGGCGAGUGUAUAAGCUUCAAAAUGUUAUCUUAUUGAACGAAACAUGUAAGAAUUAUAAACUUUUGUUGGUCACAGAGCUUAUUUUCUGCAAGAAUCCAAAAGCCAAAGGAAAAAUCCUACUGACUUUUUGUGGAGGGAUACAGGGUGAUGCUAACUUCCGGGUUGGCCUACAAAACACCUUUGGGUUAUGUCAAGAUCACGUGGAAACAGAAAUUUUUUUUAAAUAACAAUGCAUGGCCGCUUAGGGCUUCCGUAAAAAACAAACGAGCAAAAAAAAAAAUCAACCACUGAUUUAAUGCCAGCAACAAAAUGCUCAUGUACAGCUUAAAAUACUGCACGUCUUUGUUAGCUUUCUAGCUUCUUAGUUUUUGUUGCACUAAGCUUGUGCGCUAAUUUAAUUAGUCAGCGAUACAAUAUGUUUUAUCCAAAACGUGCUAUCUAUUUAUAUAUAGCCCAAUAGUUUGUUCUGUCUAAAUAUAAAUAAUAAACAUUAUAUUUCUUUCAGAAACAACGAAACAGAGAUAAAACUUUCGUAGCUGUUUUAUUUUCCCUACUCCGAAUCAAUCCCUAAAAGAAUCGAUUCUCUCAAGGGAAGGAUUAGUGAUGUGUCGUGUGUCAUUUGUGGUUCGUGAAUUGUUCUGCACUUUUUUCUUAUUAAUAUACUUUGACUCAUUGUGUGCUUAAUGUGUGUGUGUGUGUGUUUUUUUUUUUUUUUUUAAAGAAAUACACCAGUCUAAGCUAUACUUGUUACAAAUAUAAUAAAAAUAAAAUAAAAAAGAGAACGAAAUUGUCGUUCGCGAACGAAUCGACUCAUGAACGAAUCGGCUCAUGAUCGAAUCGGCUCUUUUAAUUGGCUCUUUGAGGUAAACGCAGGGAGUCGAUUCACAGAUCUUCAGUCAUUUUGGUGAUUGAACUGCUGAGAAAUAACGGUCAUAAUUCAGGAUGUAUUUUUGAAAUAGCAAAAGUAUAUUAUAUAUAAAGUUAUAUACACAACAAGUAAAAUAAGGUUUACAAAUUAAACAACAAAUAUUAUUUGACGUCAAAAAUGUUUU
ensembl:lncRNA